UUGAGUGUUACAACUCCCAAACCCACUGUGGACCUUACCAUUCGUUGCUUCGGCAGGAGACCCUGACGCUGUAAGGCGCUGGUUCCCUUGCCGAGGGCCUAAAUUCUUGAUUUACUUAGUGGAAUUCUCUCUGAGUGGCAAAUGCAAAUAAAUUA
rnacentral:misc_RNA from 1 species